UACGAAGGGGGCUAGCGUUGCUCGGAAUCACUGGGCGUAAAGGGUGCGUAGGCGGGUUUUUAAGUCAGGGGUGAAAUCCUGGAGCUCAACUCCAGAACUGCCUUUGAUACUGAAGAUCUUGAGUCCGGGAGAGGAGACUGGAAUUCAUGGUGUAGCAGUGAAAUGCGUAGAGAUCAUGAGGAAGACCAGUGGCGAAGGCGGGUCUCUGGACAGUUCCUGACACUGAGACACGAAGGCCAGGGGAGCAAACGGG
rnacentral:rRNA from 1 species